rnacentral:rRNA from 1 species
AUGAACGCUGGCGGCGUGCCUAAUACAUGCAAGUCGAGCGAACAGACGAGGAGCUUGCUCCUCUGACGUUAGCGGCGGACGGGUGAGUACCACGUGGAUACCCUACCUAUAAGACUGGGAUAACUUCGGGAAACCGGAGCUAAUACCGGAUAAUAUAUUUAACCGCAUGGUUCAAUAGUGAAAGACGGUUUUGCUGUCACUUAUAGAUGGAUCCGCGCCGCAUUAGCUAGUUGGUAAGGUAACGGCUUACCAAGGCAACGAUGCGUAGCCGACCUGAGAGGGUGAUCGGCCACACUGGAACUGAGCCACGGUCCAGACGCCUAAGGGAGGCAGCAGUAGGGAAUCUUCCGCAAUGGGCGAAAGCCUGACGGAGCAACGCCGCGUGAGUGAUGAAGGUCUUCGGAUCGUAAAACUCUGUUAUUAGGGAAGAACAAAUGUGUAAGUAACUAUGCACGUCUUGACGGUACCUAAUCAGAAAGCCACGGCUAACUACGUG